rnacentral:rRNA from 1 species
UACGUAGGGUGCGAGCGUUAAUCAGAAUUACUGGGCGUAAAGCGUGCGCAGGCGGUUCGUUGUGUCGGUGGUGAAAUCCCCGGGCUUAACCUGGGAAUGGCCAUGGAAACUGGCGAACUGGAGUGCGGCAGAGGGGGGUGGAAUUCCGCGUGUAGCAGUGAAAUGCGUAGAGAUGCGGAGGAACACCGAUGGCGAAGGCAGCCCCCUGGGCUAGCACUGACGCUCAGGCACGAAAGCGUGGGGAGCAAACAGG